rnacentral:piRNA from 1 species
UCUUAAAUGCUGAUUGACGGACCUCAUUU